rnacentral:rRNA from 1 species
UACGGGGGGGGCAAGCGUUGUUCGGAAUUACUGGGCGUAAAGGGCCCGUAGGCGGCCAACUAAGUCCGACGUGAAAUCCCCAGGCUUAACCUGGGAACUGCGUCGGAUACUGGAUGGCUUGAAUCCGGGAGAGGGAUGCAGAAUUCCAGGUGUAGCGGUGAAAUGCGCAGAUAUCAGGAAGAACACCCGUGGCUAAGGCGGCUCUCUAGUACGGUACUGACGCUGAGACGCGAAAGCGUGGGGAGCGAACAGG